rnacentral:rRNA from 1 species
UAAAGAAUUUCGGUAUGGGAUGGGGAUGCGUUCCAUUAGUUAGUUGGCGGGGUAACGGCCCACCAAGACAACGAUGGAUAGGGGUUCUGAGAGGAAGGUCCCCCACAUUGGAACUGAGACACGGUCCAAACUCCUACGGGAGGCAGCAGUGAGGAAUAUUGGUCAAUGGACGAGAGUCUGAACCAGCCAAGUAGCGUGAAGGAUGACUGCCCUAUGGGUUGUAAACUUCUUUUAUAUGGGAAUAAAACGUUCCACGUGUGGGAUUUUGUAUGUACCAUAUGAAUAAGGAUCGGCUAACUCCGUGCCAGCAGCCGCGGUAAUACGGAGGAUCCGAGCGUUAUCCGGAUUUAUUGGGUUUAAAGGGAGCGUAGGUGGAUUGUUAAGUCAGUUGUGAAAGUUUGCGGCUCAACCGUAAAAUUGCAGUUGAAACUGGCAGUCUUGAGUACAGUAGAGGUGGGCGGAAUUCGUGGUGUAGCGGUGAAAUGCUUAGAUAUCACGAAGAACUCCGAUUGCGAAGGCAGUUCACUGGACUGCAACUGACACUGAGGCUCGAAAGUGUGGGUAUCAAACAGGAUUAGAUACCCUGGUAGUCCACACAGUAAACGAUGAAUACUCGCUGUUUGC